UACAGAGGUCCCAAGCGUUGUUCGGAUUCACUGGGCGUAAAGGGUGCGUAGGUGGCCAGGUAAGUUCGGUGUGAAAGCUCGGAGCUUAACUCCGAAAUGUCAUUGAAUACUAUCUGGCUAGAGGGUCGGAGGGGAGACUGGAAUUCUCGGUGUAGCAGUGAAAUGCGUAGAGAUCAUGAGGAAGACCAGUGGCGAAGGCGGGUCUCUGGACAGUUCCUGACACUGAGACACGAAGGCCAGGGGAGCAAACGGG
rnacentral:rRNA from 1 species